CCUACGGGAGGCAGCAGUGAGGAAUAUUGGUCAAUGGGCGAGAGCCUGAACCAGCCAUGCCGCGUGCAGGAAGACGGCCCUACGGGUUGUAAACUGCUUUUCUGCGGGAAGAACGGCCCCGACGCGAUCGGGGUGUGACGGUACCGCAGGAAUAAGGAUCGGCUAACUCCGUGCCAGCAGCCGCGGUAAUACGGAGGAUCCGAGCGUUAUCCGGAUUUACUGGGUUUAAAGGGUGCGUAGGCGGCUCCCUCAGUCAGCGGUGAAAUGUGCAGGCUCAACCUGCAACCUGCCGUUGAUACUGGGGAGCUUGAGUUGGGUUGAGGCAGGCGGAAUGUGCGGUGUAGCGGUGAAAUGCAUAGAUAUCGCACAGAACGCCGAUUGCGUAGGCAGCUUGCCAAGCCCACACUGACGCUGAGGCACGAAAGCGUGGGGAUCAAACAGGAUUAGAUACCCUGGUAGUCCACGCCGUAAACGAUGAUCACUCGCUGUUGGCGAUACACAGCCAGCGGCCAAGCGAAAGCGAUAAGUGAUCCACCUGGGGAGUACGGCCGCAAGGCUGAAACUCAAAGGAAUUGACGG
rnacentral:rRNA from 1 species